rnacentral:lncRNA from 1 species
UGGAAGCUCCGCCCAUGCCAUCCCGUGUCAUCCCAUGCCACACCACUCCCGAAUUUUUUUUCAUGUCACACUGCCCGUCUGCCUGCCUCCAGCAGCAGCAACGGCAGCACCCCACAGAACCCAUCCUCCUCCUCCAAAAAAUUACUUGCCCGCAUGCCUGCUGCUGUUGCUGAUGCACAGCUUUCGACGAUGUCGCGACCACCUCCGCAACUCACUCUCACUGCACCACCCCCCUCCCCAACCCAGCCGAACCCAAGCUGUUACAUCUUACCGCGGCUACUAUUCUUACUCUGAAGGUGGGUUUUUUAAAUGUUAGUUGAUAUUUCCGGCAGUUGUGUUGUGUUGUGCGGGUGAGGUUGUUUUUAUUCACACACACACACAUAUAUAGAUAUAUAUAUAUAUAUAUAUAUAUUACGUAUAUAUUCGCAAUCUAACUGUGAAUCAAGUUGGUCCUGGCUGGGUUUGGUAGAGCUGGGCUUGGCAUU